rnacentral:rRNA from 1 species
GACAGAGGGGGCAAGCGUUGCUCGGAAUUACUGGGCGUAAAGGGCGCGUAGGCGGGAUGGCAAGUCGGUCGUGAAAUCCCUCGGCUCAACCGAGGAACGUCGAUCGAUACUGCUGUUCUUGAGGAUUGCAGAGGAGACUGGAAUUCCCGGUGUAGCGGUGAAAUGUGUAGAGAUCGGGAGGAACACCGGUGGCGAAGGCGCCUUGCUGGCCAAUUUCUGACGCUGAGGCGCGAAAGCGUGGGGAGCAAACAGG